GUCUCUUUGAGGGAUUAAUAAUAAAGAGUUUGGCCUGCUCAGUGAGAUUUUUAACAGCUGCGGUAUUAUAACUGUACUAAGGUAGCAUAAUAAUUUGCCUUAUAAAUUAGGGCUAGAAUGAAUGGUUUGACGAAAAUUAUACUGUCUCUAUUUUAAUUGGUAGAAAUUAAUCUUUAUAGUGAAAAAGCUUAAAUAGUUUAAAGGGACGAGAAGACCCUAUUGAGCUUUAUAUUAGUUAUAAUAAAAUAUAAUUUAUUUGGUUAAAUUAAUAUUAUGUUUAUUAUGUUUAAUUUUGAUUGGGGUGAUCAAGGAAUAAGAUUUAUAUUAUUUAACUUCCUUAAAAAUAAAUUAAUUUUUUAGAAUAAUUAACCAAUGAUAUUGCUUAUAUGAUAAGUUACCAUAGGGAUAACAGCGUAAUUUUUUUGGAGAGUUCAUAUUAAAAAAAGAGAUUGCGACCUCGAUGUUGGAUUAAAAUAACCAUAUGGUGAAGAGGCUUUAUGUGGUGAAUCUGUUCGAUUUUUAAAAUUUU
rnacentral:rRNA from 1 species